rnacentral:lncRNA from 1 species
ACCUAGGCUCUGAUACCAACAUGACCUGACCUAAAAUUGGACCAUGUCAUAUGGGCACCUCAAGCUCACAUGAACCAGAGGUCACCCCUAUAACUCAACCAAAAUCAUCGCAUCAAACAUAAGAGUCAGAUGGAUUCUGACUAUAAAGUAGGAUAGCAGAGCACAUACUACUAAUCCUAACUUAAACAUGUCUUAAAAAUUCAUUUCAUUCAUCAAACUAGACAAGAUACCCAAGUCGCG